rnacentral:tRNA from 1 species
GCUCCCGUAGUUCAACGGAUAGAAUAGGGGACUUCUAAGCCUUAGAUGUAGGUUCGAUUCCUGCCGGGAGCA